GAUGAACGCUAGCUACAGGCUUAACACAUGCAAGUCGAGGGGCAGCGGGAUUGAAGCUUGCUUCAAUUGCCGGCGACCGGCGCACGGGUGAGUAACGCGUAUCCAACCUUCCGUACACUCAGGGAUAGCCUUUCGAAAGAAAGAUUAAUACCUGAUGGUAUGAUGAGAUUGCAUGAUAGCAUCAUUAAAGAUUUAUCGGUGUACGAUGGGGAUGCGUUCCAUUAGGUAGUAGGCGGGGUAACGGCCCACCUAGACCGACGAUGGAUAGGGGUUCUGAGAGGAAGGUCCCCCACAUUGGAACUGAGACACGGGUCCAAACUCCUACGGGAGGCAGCAGUGAGGAAUAUUGGUCAAUGGACGAGAGUCUGAACCAGCCAAGUAGCGUGAAGGAUGAAGGUCCUACGGAUUGUAAACUUCUUUUAUAAGGGAAUAAACCCUCCCACGUGUGGGAGCUUGUAUGUACCUUAUGAAUAAGCAUCGGCU
rnacentral:rRNA from 1 species